rnacentral:tRNA from 1 species
UACAUUGUAGUAUAUGGGGUGCACGAGUUUUUGAUACUUGAGGGAUAGGUUGAAUUCCUAUUAAUGUAA